AUUGUGCUCAUUUUAAAGAUGGGGAAACAGCUAGGAGGCUAAGAAGCAGCUAGGUGGCCCAGUGGAUGGAGGACCCUGAUUUCAAAUACUCUUUCAGAAACUUAAUUAGUGUUACCCUGGGCAGAGGAAAGGAGCCAUUGGCAAGGAGAAAUCAAUGAUUUGGAAGAGAUUGUUCGAGGAAACAAGCUACUAGAGGAGAUAGAGAGAUUGGAUCAAAGGCAGAAAUAGAAGAGUUGGCAUUAGCAGAAGAAAAACCAUCUCUUUCUCUAAGAUGACAAGAAAAGCUAAGAGUUUGCAACACCCGGUGACAUCCCUUUUUAUCAUGGUCCAGGGACCCACGAUGCCAAAAGCACAGCUAGAGGGCCUGUGGAAUGAUGAUGCCUCUGAGCCUGAUUUACUGCAUCCUUACCCUGCCAAUGUCAUCUCAGGAUCGGAAUUAUUAGUUGUUUUAGUUUUAAAAAUGUAUUUAUUUGUUUGUUACAGUAAAAUCCCUGGGUACAGGGUCUGAAGUCCUGUCAUUCUUAUUGUCGGCACCCAGCAGAGUGGUCUUCAAUCAUUUUCUAAUUGUUUCCUCUGCUUUAAGUGUUAAUAUUUUAUCUCUAACUAAGAUAUAAGUUCCUGGAAUGUAGGGACUGAGCUUACACUUUUUUUUUAAAUCACCCCUCACCCCUAAAGGUCUUAACCUGUUCUGGGUCCUCAACAAAUACUUGAAGAAAUAAAACACACCCCUUAAA
rnacentral:lncRNA from 1 species